rnacentral:rRNA from 1 species
GACGAACGCUGGCGGCGUGCUUAACACAUGCAAGUCGAACGGUAAGGCCCUUCGGGGUACACGAGUGGCGAACGGGUGAGUAACACGUGAGUGAUCUGCCCUGCACUUCGGGAUAAGCCUGGGAAACUGGGUCUAAUACCGGAUAGGACCACUUCCUGCAUGGGGGGUGGGGGAAAGCUUUUGCGGUGUGGGAUGGGCCCGCGGCCCAUCAGCUUGUUGGUGGGGGGAUGGCCUACCAAGGCGACGACGGGGAGCCGGCCUGAGAGGGUGACCGGCCACACUGGGACUGAGAUACGGCCCAGACUCCUACGGGAGGCAGCAGUGGGGAAUAUUGCACAAUGGGCGCAAGCCUGAUGCAGCGACGCCGCGUGAGGGAUGACGGCCUUCGGGUUGUAAACCUCUUUCAGCACCGACGAAGCGCAAGUGACGGUAGGUGCAGAAGAAGGACCGGCCAACUACGUGCCAGCCGCCGCCGUAA